GGAUGGGUGGCCGAGUGGUUUAAGGCAGCGGUCUUGAAAACCGCCGGGCGGGCGACCGCCCCGUGGGUUCGAAUCCCACCCCAUCCGCCA
rnacentral:tRNA from 1 species